CCAAAAGAAAGUAGACACAAGGGCGCUCAAAUUAGUUGCUAAAUAAGAUGUCAAUCUAAUACAAGUUUAACAGUCUGAGACCAGAGCAGAGAAGAACUCUAAAUAUGAAAUCUGCACACAUCCGUGAUACUAGCCAGGUAACUCAUACUGAAAAAAUAAAGGCUCUAGCGUGGUAGUUUCAAGCCUUCUACUUAGUGGAACAUCUUUCAAGACAUCCGAUGCCCAGACCCCAGACCAAUGGCUUCAAUUAGAUAAAGUAACAGGAAAUAUGAUAACAUGAUCAACAAAGCGGAAAAGAGUGACUCGAGGGAAAUAAAAAUAUAAAUCAAGCAAGAAGUACAUCUAAUCCGAUUGUGUAGAUAGUUUGGCCGAGUAGUACAGAUAAAUAACUCAAGGAGUCGGCCACCAUCAAUAACUUCUGUAGAUUGCAUAGAUUCACGUAGGUGGGGAAAGAGUAAGGAAAGGGUUCUUUUUCUUUUCUAUUUGGAGGAAGCUCUACUAAAAUGUGCUAAUAAACAGCUCAUGAUCCAAAUAAAACAAUCCUCCAAGAGAAUGACAAGAACUGCGACCCUUGAUCAUAAAGAACAUGGAGGAUAGAGUAGCCAGAUAUCAUCUUCAAGAGACAAUUUCGAUAUCACGUUCCUUAAAAGAAUGAGGUUGGUAAUCCUAUAUGAUAAAGCAGUACUAAUAGUUAAACGUUCAUUUAAAGGUAAAAGGCGCUCUGCAAUGGCCUGAAAAGAGAAUAAUACAUUAGCAUAUGCAGCAAAGACCUUUUCCCAAAAAAUGUGCUAUGAAAGUUACUACAAGCUCCCUGGGUGAACUUUUAAGUUACAAUACUAUUCGCUUUUACAACAAAGAGAUGCACCACUUGCUAAUAUAGCACUUCGAAAGAACAAAGUUGAAAAGCUCUUAUUUAUUCUUUAGCAUCUAUGACAGUCUACAUCUCAUCUUCUUCAACAAAUCCUCCUUGAGACAUAGGAGCACACACUACCAAAACUAAGUUACAGCUGAUAAUAAUCAAUCUAUACUGUCAAACUUAAGAUGACAGGUCAAACUGGAGUCUCUUUCUUAUGUACGCAGGCAUGCCAUUCCAAACAAUAUCAGGUGAUUAUCUGAUGCCUCACCAACAUGUGGAGAGCAAAAUAUGACACAAACUAUGCGAAUAAACAUAAAGAGAGAAUCUUAUUAUGGCACA